AAAAAAACAUAAUAUUUUAAUGAAUAAACAUGGCUAAAUGAGUAAAGACCUCAUUAGAUGGAUAUUCCUUCAGUACAUAUACCUUUGUUAUUUAAUAAUAUGAUCAUAUUAUAACCCUAUUCUAAAUAUUCUAGAAUUGAUAUAAUAUAGUGAGUGACUGUAUAUAUCACAAAUGAUUACUGUAAACCAACUGAUUUUUGCCACUUUCAUGAGUAGAAAAAUUAAGCGUAAAAAAAUUAUCGCGAAUAUGUAAAACUCGCUUGUUUCCUUAUUAAAACACACCAAGUAAGCUAGAAAAUCGUGAAAUUAAAUAUCUGCGUAGUGGACUAGAGGGGUAUAUUCAGUAAAACAUCUCCCAUUAACUUUAAUGCUAAUCUAUGUGUGGAAAUAAAUUUAUACCUGAUUUACCUUUAGAAAUUAAAAACUUUCAUAUAUCAUUCAUGAAAAUACAAAUGUAGCCCUACCUUUUGCAACAAUAAAAACAUAGGGUCAUGCAGCAUUUUUGGGCAUUCACAUGGCCUUGUUUACAAACAAUGUAGAUUCACACUGAAUUCCUAUACUGACCCCCAUUACUUUUCAACCAUGUAGGGAAAAAAAUUAGUACAUUCAGCAUUUAUUUUUUUAUUUUUUUCAACUCUAGUUUUGAUCCAUCUACCAAAAAAUAUUUAUUACAAACAUUAUCUACCAAUCAGAAGAGCACAUGACUUCAGUUUUAGACAGAAAGCUCUCCCCCAAAUGGGCGGUCCCUGAUGACAUAUAUUUAUUUACUGAAUUUACCCCUAUAAAGGGCCAAACGCAAAAUAAAGUAUCCGUGAAAAUAAGUUGGUUUACAGUAUACAAUCAAUGCAAUGUUACUGCUCAAGUAGAACAGCUGCAGUAUAUAAUUUAUUACACAAAUUUAUGUUUUGAGUAAUCUAUUUUAGGCAAAACAGGGUUUUUGUGAUUUAUUUACCCAUGAUUUAGAUUUACACAGGUUUAUCGUAGUAUUUAUAUGAAAAAAUUGUAAAAUAAUGCGAGAUUUCAGUGGAUCUUUAUAAACAAGCAUUUGUGCAUUUGUUUAAAUGUGGCCAGUUAAAUAAAUGUUAAUUAUUUUUUUUUUUUUUAAGUUCUAUUUGUGCAAUAUUUUGGUUAUUAAUUAUUGUUAGAUAUUGUGUAUAUUAAAUGGUACAUAAAGACUUACUGGUACAUGUAGUCAAAAAGUUAAAUAUGUUGUCAUUGAUAUAAUUAAUUGAAAUGUAUUUUUGUCAUUUAUUUUUGUUAAGAGAAUAUGGUCAGAGGAGCAAGGAUAAGUUUUGCGAAUAGUUAUAGUAGAGAGAGAGAGAGUCACUUAUAUUAAGGAUCACCAAAAAAAAGGUUUUUUUUUAUGUUGGGUGUUAAAAAUAUUGUUUGAACCUUUGGUUAUAUUAAUUAUCUACUAAUGAUCUCCCUUAAUUUACUUAGUAAGGGAGAUAAUUUUACUUAAACAAGGGAAAUUACUUAUAUUUUUCAUCAUCAUUUUUCUGAUUUUGUCGGUAGAAACAAUGAUCAUAGUACACAAUGUAUGCUCUCUUUUUUCUUAGUUAAUUAUUUAAUAUUUGAAUAAUAAUUUGUAGUACAUUAUUUAAUUUAUGGUUACAUGUAUUUGUCAAAUUUCGGGAUUUGAUAUUUUCUGCCCAUAUUAUAUUCCUCUGUGAAAUAUAUUAAAUUUUAAGGUUUUCAAAAUUUGGCAGCAGUGUUUUCAUCCAUGUAGUUAUUAUGCAAUUAUCUUAUUUUUUUCAAAUACCUUUUCAACCAUUCAAAAUGGUGGAAUUUAUGGAAAUGUGAAAAUUUGAAUCUAACACGCAAACUUCUGAUUUUCCUGGCAUAUCCCGUUAUAAUGAGUUUUUCCUGGGAAAAUAUUGCAUCACACAACAAAAUAUUGUUGCCAGUGAUGAAAUUAACUAUCAUUGUGACAACAUUUCGAUUCACAAAGUGAUAUUCCAUAUUAAAAAAUCAGUGUAAUGGAACCACGUUAAAGUUUAAUAUUGUCUCAAAAUAUUGUAUCAUACUAAUGAAAAGGAGUAGGGGAAGGAAGGUUGACAGUUGAAUCCUCAAUGAAAUGGGGAAGAAGUAAUUAUCCUUCAAAUUUAAUCAUUUAUAAUUAUAAACUAGACAUAUGCACUCUUCUUUUUUUUCAAAAGUAAAGACAGCUUUAAAAGUAGAAUAUUUAAACAAUAAUUUUAUUGAUCAAUUUUCCUGAUUAAACACAUGUGUCAGAGCUGAUCAAUUUUGUAUUUGUCAGAUAUUUUUCAUAAAAA
rnacentral:lncRNA from 1 species